rnacentral:lncRNA from 1 species
AAUUUUGAUCUAUCAUGAAUAGGUUCCGUAAAUUGUAUUAGCUGUUCUAAAUUUUAGAAUGUAGUUCGUUUUAAUCAAGAAAUAUAAACAAUAAAAGACACGAGUUGCAUAUGAAUGCACGUGAGGGGCCGAGUUCCCAUAAUUUGAUUCUCUCUGUCUUCGGGACAACACAAAGUUCCUCUAAAUCCGUAUCAACUAGACUAAACCUAACUGGUUC